rnacentral:rRNA from 1 species
GACGAACGCUGGCGGCGUGCUUAACACAUGCAAGUCGUGCGGUAAGGCCCUUUCGGGGGUACACGAUCGGCGAACGGGUGAGUAACACGUGAGCAACCUGCCCUUCACUUUGGGAUAACUGCCGGAAACGGUGUCGAAUACCUGAUAUGACUUCGCCACGCAUGUGGGGUGGGGGAAGGCCUUCGGGUGGUGGGGGAUGGGCUCGCGGGCUAUCAGCUUGUUGGUGGGGUGAUGGCCUACCAAGGCUUCGACGGGUAGCCGGCCUGAGAGGGUGACCGGCCACACUGGGACUGAGACACGGCCCAGACUCCUACGGGAGGCAGCAGUGGGGAAUAUUGGACAAUGGGCGAAAGCCUGAUCCAGCAACGCCGCGUGAGGGAUGACGGCCUUCGGGUUGUAAACCUCUUUCGCCUGCGACGAAGCGAGAGUGACGGUAGCAGGUAAAGAAGCACCGGCCAACUACGUG